AAGGGUAUAGCUCAGUGGUGGAGUGUGUGCUUAGCGUGCACGAGGUCCUGGGUUCAAUCCCCAGUCCCUCCA
rnacentral:tRNA from 1 species